UACGAGGGGUGCAAGCGUUGUUCGGAAUCACUGGGCGUAAAGGGCGUGUAGGCGGUCAAGUUAGUGGGACGUGAAAUGCCUCGGCUCACCCGAGGACCUGCGUCCCAAACUGCUUGGCUUGAGUAUGGGAGAGGAUGUGGGAAUUCCUGGUGUAGCGGUGAAAUGCGUAGAUAUCAGGAGGAACACCGGUGGCGAAGGCGCACAUCUGGCCCAAUACUGACGCUGAGGCGCGAAAGCUAGGGGAGCAAACGGG
rnacentral:rRNA from 1 species